rnacentral:misc_RNA from 1 species
UUUUGUUUGUAAGAGGUCACAAUGGCCGCUCUCGGUCGAGUGUUACCUCUGUUAGUUCGACAGCCUGUUUCUGUAGUAAAACGGAGCAUUUCAACAUCACCUAGAAGUCUGGGAGGAGUUUAUUUUGAAAAGGACUUCUUCCCAGGGCCCUACCCGAAAACAGAAGAAGAGAGGCUAAAAGCAGCCAAGAAAUAUGGAAUGCAGCCCGAGGAUUAUAAGCCGUGGGAAAACCAUGAUAAGUGGGGCUCGGGGGAUUACCCAGAAAUUCAGCCAAUUGGAGAGGAUCUGAAAUCAGAAUAUGAAGUUUGGGACGACAAAUCAACUAAAACAAAUUUUAAUGAACCACUGCCAAUGAGAGAGUAUCACUAUACUGAUCGUUUUGACUAUGGUCAGGAUCUCUACCCCUCCUCAGACUACCUAAACAGUUUCCAUUCACCUACGAAGGCCAUGGUACCUAUUGGCAUAAAUCAAACAUCAAGCGAAAUAUACACUACACGUUUGAGCCUGCUGAGCCAGCCGAGGGGAGCGAAUGAAGAGAUUCUGGGGACUACCCCCGUGUACCACAGUACUACAGUGGGACUCUCUUAAGAGUUACAGUCAAAAAAUUUAACUCGGAUGUUGUGUAACUCUGUUGUGUUGAAUUAAAUAAAUUCUAUGUUAUACAAUGU